rnacentral:rRNA from 1 species
CGGCCGCGUCGACUAGAGUGCCUGAAGAACUAUGGAAUGAGGUUCGUGACACUGUGUAGGAAACAGGGAUCAAGACCAUCCCUACGAAAAGAAAUAGCAAAAAGCAAAAUGGCUGUCUGGGAGGCCUUACAAAUAGCUGUGAAAAGAAGAGAAGCGAAAAGCAAAGGAGAAAAGGAAAGAUAUAAACAUCUUUCACGAGAGGCACCGACGCCCGCCGCUGAAGUUUACGGACGCUGGUGAGGUAGAGCAUGUAAGAUGGGACCCGAAAGAUGGUGAACUAUGCCUGCAUAGGGUGAAGCCAGGGGAAACUCUGGUGGAGGCUCGUAGCGAUUCUGACGUGCAAAUCGAUCGUCAAAUGUGGGUAUAGGGGCGAAAGACUAAUCGAACCAUCUAAUGGCUGGUUCCUGCCGAAGUUUCCCUCAGGAUAGCAGAAAUUCGUAUCAGUUGUAUGUGG